GAGGGUACAGCUCAGUGGUAGAGCACGUGCUUAGUGCGCACAAGGUCCUGGGUUCAAUCCUCAGUACCUCCA
rnacentral:tRNA from 1 species